CCCUUAGAUGUUCUGGGCCGCACACGCGCUACACUGAAGGAGGCAGCGUGUACUCCUGGAUCGAAAGAUUUGGGUAACCCGCGAAUCUCCUUCGUGCUAGGGAUUGAGGUUUGCAAUUAUCCUUCAUGAACGAGGAAUUCCCAGUAAGUGCAAGUCAUAAGCUUGCGCUGACUACGUCCCUGCCCUUUGUACACACCGCCCGCCGCUACUACCGAUUGAAUGAUUUAGUGAGGACUUCGGACUGGGACCGAUGCGGCUUUCGGGCUGCGUCGGUAUUCUGGAAAGAUGUCCAAACUGUAUCAUUUAGAGGAAGUAAAANUCGUANCA
rnacentral:rRNA from 1 species